GUGCUCUGGUCGGAAAGGCGGGCGGGGACCCUGCGUGACCCGCCACCUCACUAACCCGAACUCGGGGAGGAGGGUGGCCGCGGCUCCGAGCGCCAGAAUGUCUACCCCAGGCCGGGCUCUGAGGCAGGCUCCUCGUCCUGGUGGGUUUGCCCACUGGCCUCCUCGCGCCCUUCUCCGUGGGCGACCCGGGGGCGGAGGCUUAGGUUUCAAAAGCGAAACAUUCGUCUCAUCUAGCUUCCAGAGGAUGUUAGGACUUUUCUUUCCUGAGAAAGUCAGCGUCUGGAGGGGACCCAAGGCCCAAGCCCUCCUUCCCCUCAGCCGCAUCUGCCCGUGAAUAGGGAACAACCACUUCAAAUUUAUCCUAUUCUACCAUGAAGACUACUUGUGGGAAGACAGGAGGAUAUUUUUUGCCUCCUGCAAAAACAAAGUCCAUCUGGUGGAAGUGUGGGAAUGACAAGAUGUUACACUGGGAUAUCAUCAUUUCCUACCCUCCCCCCCAUCUCACCCUCUGUCUGAACCAAACUUCUAACAUGCUCAAAGAGUCAUCUUUCUCAAACCCACCCCCAUACUGAGGAACAUACUCUCCCCUUUCUGACCAACAAAGGAUUAUUGGGAUCUACAGCUUGUGUAUCAGGAACUUCUAAACAGAUACAGUUGCUGCUAACAGUUUUAUCCACAUCUCAACCAAAUUUGUCUCGGAAACUUGGCAUUUAGCCGUGGUUGUAAAGCUGCUGCCACCCCUAGUCACCACUGGGGGUGUGCCUGAGAAGAAGACGACUCACAAAUCAAGGAAAGCAGUGCGCCUGAGAGGACCAGAGUUCAGGGUCUCCUGCCCCAGUGUUCUUGCAGCCUGACUUUGCAUCCCAAGUUUUCUUCUUCCAUUUAUUCAGAGUAGAAGCACAAAGAGUAGAGUUUGUGACUUCAAGUUCAUUUACAUAAGUGCAUUGUUCCAACCCACCCAUUUGUGACCUGGGCAGGGCUGAAUUUCUAAUUUCUGUAACCCUAGGUAAGAAAAGAUUCAAAUGACCCACAUAAAGUUAGCAAUGAAGGGUUUUAAAAACAACAAACACACACACACAAAACUUGUUCUUCUAAAGUGAAAAGUUUCAGAUUAUUUUAAAAUAAAAUGGAUUAGCAAAACCAUGGCUUCUUUUCCCUACACCGACCCAAGUAUAAUUAUGGAUUUUGUUUUUAACCUUUUAUUUCCUUUUUUCUCUGACUCUUUAAGCGAUUAUAUUCAGAACUGAUGGAAUGUUGUGCUCCAUUAAUAGUUCAAAAUAAGGGCACCUGGGUGGCUCAUUCGGUUAAGCGACUGCCUUCGGCUCAGGUCAUGAUCCCACGGUCGAGCCCCACAUCGGGCUCCCUGCUCGGCGGGGCAGCCUGCUUCUCCUUCUCCCUCUGCCUGUCGCUCCCCCUGCUUGUGCUCUCUCUCUCUCUGUCAAAUAAAUAAAAUCUUAAAAAAAGAAAGAGUUCAAAAGAGAUUUGCUCAAAAUUAAAAACUUUUGGGCUUCAAAGAUACUAUCAAGAAAAUGAAAAGUCAACCCACAGACUGGAAGAAAAUAUUUGCAAAUCAUAUAUCCAGUAAGGGAUUUGUAUCCACAAUACAUUAAAAAUUCUUAUGGGUUGAUAAAUAGAAAACAACCUAAUUAAAAAAUGGGCAAAAGAUUUGAAUAGACAUUUCUCCAAAAAGAUACACAAAUCGCUAAUAAGCACAUGAAAAGACUAUCAUCAUCAUCAUUGGUCAUUAGGGAAAUACAAAUCAAAACCCCAGUGAGACCAAUUUUUCACCCAGUAGAAUGGCUAUAAUAAAAAAGACGGACAGUAACAAGUGUUGGCAAGAAUGUGGUGAAAUUGGAACUCAUACAUUGCUGGUGGGAAUGUAAACCAAUACAGAUAUUUUGCAAAACAGUUUAGAAGUUUCUUAAGUUAAUCAGAGAUUUACCAUAUGACUCAGUAAUUCUACUCCUACUCACAAAAAUUGAAAACAUAUAUCCAUAUACAAACUUGUGCACAAAUGUUUGUAGCAGCAUCAAUAACAAUAUCCAAAAAGUUGAAACAACUCAAGUAUCUCUGAUGAGAUGAAUGGAUAGUCUAUAUAAUAGAACACUAUUCAUCAAAGAAGGGAUAACACGCUGCAACAUGGAUGAACCUCUAAAUCUCAAACAUCUUAGUGAAAGAGCCUGACAUAAAAGAGCACAUAUUCUAUCUAUAUGAAAUGCCCCCAAAAGGCAAAUAUUUAGAGACGAAAAGUAGAUUAUUGGUUGGAUAGGGCUGGGAGCGAAAUUGAGGGUGAUUGUAAACAGGCACAACGUUUCCUUUUAGGAUGGUGACAACAUUCUAAAAUCAGAUUCUAUAAAUUCACAAGAAUUCAUUGAAUUGUACAUUAAAAUGAGUGAAUUUUAUGGUUGAUAAAUUAUAUCUCAAUAAAGCUGGUGAAAAAUAUUAUUAUGAGUUCUAACCCAGAUCUUGAGAGAAACUACCACUUACCAGAUGGUAUUCUUAAUUUUGGUGGGCUUCACUUCAUUGUACAGGUUUAUUAAGACCCAGACUUGUCAGUGUAUUUAGAAAAAUGCAAGUUUGGUAUUUAUUUUGUGGAAGUUAUCUGGGCAUUUGGUUUGGGGAACCAGGAGCAGAACUGGGGUGAUAGGGCACAUGCUCUUACAUGGGCUUGUUAUUUGAUGAUGACUGACAAGAUCCAGGAAGAUGCCCAAGAUGCUCAUCUAAUUCCACCUUUGAAACUCCAGUUUCUUCCAAGGAUUCUCCAAUGAAUUCCAUGGAGAAAGAUGCCCUGAACAUAACUCCUGACAAAAAUAUUUCCUGACUGUUGUCAACAAGAAGAGAUUGUCUUAAGUUAGAGGAUGUAUUAAGUAAUGUUAAACCUGACAAGAUAGGACUCCAAUUUCAAGAGCUUUUAAUAACAUCUUCCUAUAGACCUUAAAUUUGGUGAAAAACUUGUAAAGUGCCUUCCAGAACAAAGGCAAAGAAGAAAGCUCUUGUUUCUGUAUCAUUUCCCAGAGAACAAAGACCAUGCUAGCGCUAAAUAAAGCUAAAUGCCUUUGUGUCUGCUUUUACCGCUACACCUGUUUUUUUUCUGGUGGGAUAAAUAAAGAAAUGGAAAGUAUGCUCUAACAACCUUCAAGUCUCUGUCCAAACUUAUAUAUGAAGUGUAGAGGUCCAAGUUCCAACCUGUUUGUUAUUUUGAGUGAAAAAAUUUUCUCUGAACAUGUAAAAUAGGCACAUUAAGAAGCCAAAUAUACAUUAGUUACCUGCUCCCAUCCUCCAUUCCCCCCCCUCUUUUUUAAAGGAUAUAUUCUGCAUGAUGGAGGCUAAAAGGGGGCAGCUGUGCCACAGUAGUGGACCCUAAA